AUUGAACGCUGGCGGCAUGCCUUACACAUGCAAGUCGAACGGCAGCACGGGUGCUUGCACCUGGUGGCGAGUGGCGAACGGGUGAGUAAUACAUCGGAACGUACCUUAUCGUGGGGGAUAACGCAGCGAAAGCUGUGCUAAUACCGCAUACGCCCUGAGGGGGAAAGCGGGGGAUCGCAAGACCUCGCGCGAUUAGAGCGGCCGAUGCCUGAUUAGCUUGUUGGUGGGGUAAAAGCCCACCAAGGCGACGAUCAGUAGCUGGUCUGAGAGGACGAUCAGCCACACUGGGACUGGGACCCGGCCCAGACUCCUACGGGAGGCAGCAGUGGGGAAUUUUGGACAAUGGGGGCAACCCGGAUCCAGCAAUGCCGCGUGAGUGAAGAAGGCCUUCGGGUUGUAAAGCUCUUUUGUCAGGGAAGAAACACCGGCUCUAACACAGUCCGGGAAUGACGGUACCUGAAGAAUAAGCACCGGCUAACUACGUGCCAGCAGCCGCCGCCG
rnacentral:rRNA from 1 species